rnacentral:tRNA from 1 species
UAUAUGUAGAUGUAUAGUGCAUGAAAGAUUUUGAUUCUUUAAGGUUUGGUGCAAACCCAAAACAUAUAG